UACAGGGGGUGCAAACGUUGCUCGGAAUCAUUGGGCGUAAAGCGCACGUAGGCGGUUCGUUAUGUCGGAUGUGAAAGCCCUUGGCUUAACCGAGGAAGUGCAUCCGAAACUGGCGAGCUAGAGUACUAAAGAGGAUCGCGGAAUUCCCGGUGUAGAGGUGAAAUUCGUAGAUAUCGGGAGGAACACCGGUGGCGAAGGCGACUUACUGGACACAUAUUGACGCUGAGGUGCGAAAGCGUGGGGAGCAAGCAGG
rnacentral:rRNA from 1 species